GUCGGCGGGCGGAGCGGCGCUGAGGGCGAUGAUGGCGGCCGGGACGGGCAAGUCCCGCCGGCGGCGCGCAGGAAAUAAGCAUUCAGCUGCUCAGAAAAAUGAAGAUGCUGCUCAAAGGAAAGCAGCUCUGGAGGCUGCACUGAGAAAGAAGAUUGAAUGUGAGAAAAAAGCAUUGUCUAUUGUUGAGCAGCUCCUGGAAGAGGACAUUACUGAAGAGUUCCUUCUAAAUUGUGGAAAAAGUAUUACUCCAUCUCACUAUAAAGAUGUUGUUGAUGAGCGAUCUAUCAUCAAACUGUGUGGUUAUCCUCUAUGUCAGAAGAGACUGGAAAAUGUGCCAAAGCAGAAGUACAGAAUUUCAACAAAAACGAACAGAGUUUAUGAUAUCACUGAAAGAAAGUGCUUUUGCAGCAACUUUUGCUAUAAAGCAUCUAAAUAUUUUGAAGCUCAAAUUUCCAAAAGUCCAGUGUGGAUGAGAGAAGAAGAAAAACCACCAGACAUAGAGCUGCUGAAGGAGGGACGAAGUGGACAGUCUGGAGAAGAGGUGAAACUACGUGAUGAAGUGAUUAAAGCAUCUGACAUUGAAAAUCCUAGGAUAUCUUCAGAUCCAUGUGAAUCUGGUUCUCAUGACACAGCCAGUGACAGCAGUACUGAUACUGAGCAAGGAUUUAUUUCUUCUGUCCUACCAGGAAGUCAGUCAAGUUCAGCCAAUUUUGCACAGCAAUUGCACAGAAAAAGCAUCCUCAAAAAGAAGCAUGCUCAGAAAGUCCAUACCAGCUCUAAAACUGAAGAUGCAGAUGUAGUAGAAGCCACUGAACAGCUGUCUCAUUGUAAAUUAGACACUCAGGAAGAAAGACAUGCUUUCUCUGUUCAUGAUGAAGUAACUGCACCACCUUCAGACAAUACUGCUCCUGGGAAAUCAAGUGCUUCAGAAAUCUUUGAAAAUACAUGUGGAUCAGAGAUAGUUUUUCUAGGUGUGAGCAAAAGAGGAGCAGAACAUCUUAAAAGAACACUAGCUAAGUCAAUGGAACAUAAAAACCCUGAACUGAGGCAUCCAGUUAAUUCCAAAGGCAGUUUACUAGAAGUGCUUAGGCAAACACUUAUGGAAUGGAGAACUGAGGAAACUUUAAAAUUUCUCUAUGGCCCAAACUAUACUUCUUUGUGCUCAGCAGAGUGCAUAGCAUCUGUCAACCAGGAGACUGAAGAACUUGAUGAGGAUGACUUAGAUACAGCUGAUGAUCUCAACACUGUUGGUGUAGAGGAGUCUGAAAACAGUUUGAACUACUCUUUACCUUUCACAAGCUCAGGUGGAAUAGUUAAGCCUCUGCCUAGUUACGAAAAGUUAAAAGAAGAAACAGAGUUCCUAGAACUCCGAGUAAAAGAGUUCUAUAAAGGAAGGUGCAUCUUGGCUGAAGAGGCAGCGACACAAGCGCAAGCAGGGGAACAUCCAAGCAAAGACAAAGAUGAUCAGCAGGAAGAUCUCACCUUCCCACUUGUUGAUUCAAAUGCACAAAUGCAGAUUAGGAAGCGAAUUGUCCUUGAAAAACUGAGAAAAGCAUUAUCUGCAGUUUUGGGCCCUCUUCAGAUUGCUUCAAGUGAUGUUUACACAGAGCUAAAAAAUCUUGUCAAAACUUUCCGGUUAACAAACAGAAAUAUUAUUCACAAAAUGCCUGAAUGGACUCUCAUUGCUAUUGUUCUGUUAUCUGUAUUGUCACAAACAAGUCCACUUUUCAAGAAUACUCAGACAAGCCCAAUGUACACACAGUUCCUGACCACAUUACUGGAAGAACUGCAUUUCAAAAAUGAAGAUCUGGAAAGUUUAACAAGAAUAUUUAGAAUGAACUGACAACUUGAAUGAAUAACAUGAUCAUCCUAGCAUUUCCUACUACCUGAAAUGGUUGCACAGAGAACAAAAGAACACCUUCAGUUGUUUGAGCUCUUUAAAAUGAAAAAUGAAAUUUCAUAUGAAUUGUAGUUCUUGCAUUUCUGCUUUUUCAUUUCCUUCCUAUGGGUAAGAAUUUUGUAGUCUUGUGAAGAAGCUGACUAACCACAGUUGUUCAAGGUAUGAAGACAAGUUAAAAUACGGAUCAUCUGAAAAGUGUUCAAAAGCAGUAGAAAGGAAUUUGGAUUGGUUUGGUUUUUCUUGAUUUGGAAACUUUCAGUCAAUGUUUGUCUGCAGGGAUCAGGGAAAGACGGGGGGGGGGAAAAAGUGUGUGAGCCUCUGAUGGUAAGAGCCGUGCUGCUGACAUUUUUCCAGUUUCCCUCAUGCAUGUAGCAGGAAUCUUUAAGAAUGAUGACAACAGUACACAAAUGUGUCUGAUUCAAAGCCUGUUUGUCUUGCUACUUCUAAGAAAAGGGGUGGUCUUUGAACUUGUGUAAAAGUUAUUUUUAAACAGACUCUAGGUGUUACUAAUUUGGACUUUUAAAAUAGAUUUUAAUAACUAAAAUUUUUUUGCUUUCAGUAGUCAUUUCAUUUCAAAGAGUUGUGUUAUUUAGGCUGUGUUUGGAAUAGCUUCUGUCACUAAUGGAUCAUAAAUUGCAUUUUAAAACUAGUCCUAGUAGUUUUAGAUUACUAGACUCACUAGUAAUUCUUAAUGAUUCCAUAAUAUGUUUUAUUUCUAGUUCUCAGAUCAUAGGACACUGUAUUUUGAGAGACUUGAGAAGAAAGUUGUAACUGACAGUGCUUAGUCUGCAGCAAAUGCCAGCACUAGUUAAGGCUGAGACAAGCCUUACCAGGACUGCUGCACAUUCACUCAGUUUGAAAAACCAAAGUUUAUUCCUUUGGUUUGCUUCUGUAAUUGGACACCAGAAAGGAACUUGAAUAGUUCACUGCUGUGUAGUUCCUUCAUGAUAAUCAGAAUAAACAUGUAGAUUACCCCCGACACAUAGAAGCUCAUGCAGCUUUGCCAUGGAAGCUUCACUGCGCAGUAGACUUUAUUUAGGCGAUGCUUGACUUUUCCAAACUUACAUUGUAAUGGGAAGUUACGUUCAGUGUAAGUUGUAAAAGCAACAAUUUAGAACUAGAAGAACCUUUAAUGCAGAGUUACAGCUAUGCAUUUUUCUAAGUAUGCAGUAGGGGGGAAAAUGCCCAUUACGAUCAGAGUGUGUCUGAUACAAAAUUUGUAAGAAUUACUGGAUAGACAUUACAUUGGUUUUGUACCAUGAUGGAAAAAACUUACUUGAUACAUAUGGAAAGAUGGGUCAAGACCUCACCAAAAGAUAAACUUCUGUAGAAGAUUGGGUAAUAGGUAUGAUACUCUGAGCACAACUUAAACCUUGAAUUUAUAUCUAUUCACUUCUGAUUUUUGGAAGUUGACUGAAUUUGUAUUUUCAGCUAGCAGAUUCUGAGCAAGCCUGUUCCAUGCAUGUUUACCUUAGGGCACGAAGAUUACCUCACAACAGUUCUGCCAUACAGAGUACACCUAGAAGGCAUUGCAGAUGUACAUCAUACCAGGAAUGUGACUGUGUUUCAUCAGGUUUGAUGGCUCUCAUUUGGAAAGUUUUUACAUUUCCUGUCAGUUUAGUGGUGUGAUUUUUUUUUUUUUUUUUGGUACUUAUUUUUAGGCUUGGGGUUCACCACCUACUGUGUAGGAAAUGUAUGAUCGUGUAAUAAGAAUGAAUAGGUUGCAGGCUCAAAGACCAUUUUAUCAGGGUUCACUAUAACUGCUUUUACUGUCUGCCUCAGCAGCUCAAAAAAGUAAGCUUUCAGGAUUUAUGCAUCUCUUCUUUCACUGCUUUGUAGUAAGCUCCCUCAUUCUUUUCCUUGCCCUACAAGAACAAAAUAACAUUUCUCCAUCCAUGAGGCCAGAAGAAGAUUCUGUAGUAUGCUGGGAACACCCUAAAGAGAUAUUCUUCACUUCCUUGUGAUGAUUUCAUCUCCGUUAGACAUCUGUAGCACACAUGUAAAUAAAUGCAGAAAGUAUACAUAUGUACCCAAUACUUUUGAAUGAGAGAGUCUAUAGACUCAUCCCAAAAGGAUCUUUCAAUACUGCCAGCCUUAACUGGUGUAUAAAAAUCACAACUCAAAUACCAAAAAUUCAAUUCAUUUAUGUAGUUUUCUUAUGAGCAUGCUUUGUAACAGCCUAACUGCUUAGAAAUGGUCAAAUCUAGAUAUCUUUUUUUAUCCUAAAGCAAAUUUCUGUCACAAGUAUCUGUCCUUCAGAAGAUGUCACUCUUUCUUAACUCAGCUGGUUUUUGAUGUUGUUCUUCCCCUUCUCAUUGUGCUUACGUUCGCAGACAGAUUGUUUCCUUGUGGCCUUGUUUCUGUGCUUACUGAUUUUCCUUCUGUGUAAAUUAAACAGAUGAGAGCAGUUGACAUGUAGGUCAGUAGUGGUUUCAGCCUUAUCUCAGAAUACACUAAAUUGUAAUGACUGACUUCUAAGCUGCAGAUGUGAAGCGACAUCAUGGAUCUGGGGUUUAGGGUAAAUGGGACAGAAGCCUCUAUUUCUGAACAGCUCUGUCGAAGGGGCAUAAACUUGGUAAAGCCAUUAGCACCUUAGAGGACAAAGAUCAUAAAGUCUCAGAAGUCCACUGCCAUAACCCUGUAAAGGAUCCAGCACUGUCUGGCCAUGGACCAGUAGCAGGGCAAUUAGAGUUUCUUUUAAUAGCAGGGAGGCGGGAAGGAAACCAAACUUAUAUGUUGAUUAUUUUUUCCUGACAUAUAUAAUUGAUUUAGUAAAGAAUAAAAGAACAGCUUAGUUUAAAGCUUGCUUCAUGCUGUUACAGCUGUUCCACCUCAAAGGAGGAAUGUGUGACACAUACCUACCUGCAUGUCACAGAAUGGAUUUCUUACCAAGUUUUCCAUAGCUGUAAUGAAAUAAUCUCAGGAAGAGAACAAGCACAUACACAGAGUCACAUUUUCUUAACAUUAUUCAAAGCAGUCUUUGUGUUGGCCAAAGUGGCUGAUGGAAAGACUUUUGUGUCUAUUUUCACACCAAAGUUCAGUUCACAGCCUGGUAAAUACUCUCAGUGUAAGCACUGCACUCUUUAAUACUAAAUUUCCUAGCAUAGAGCCUUUCACUGCUGCCAUUUGAUUAUUUUUGCCCAUUGACCAUGCUUACUUAUUUUUCUUGGAUUUUGGAGAGAAAAAGAGGAGUCCAAGUGAUUCAUUUAUGUUCACCAUUUCAGGAAAGUAGAAAAGUCAUAAUGUAACCCAUACACUUUCAGUUUUUUGAAGCGAUUACCUUGAAUCUGUGUAAAGGUUGCAAAUCAAGCUAGAUAUGAUAAUGCAAAUUCCUACAUUAAAACAAGCAGAAGAGAGCCUGAUUUAUUUAAUUGAAAACUAUCAAAACAAAAAAGUUCCUCAGCAUAACUGACAGGGCUGUGCUGCUGUCUAAACCCAGGGCUGGAAAUUUAGAUCUACCCUGUCAUUCACAGGGAGAUGCAGGGAGCGACAAGGUGCUGGUACAUGCAUGAUAUGUGUCCUGGCCUCACAGGCUGUGUCCAUACAACACAUACAAGAGUCACCUGUAUUUUCACUCUUCAGUCUCAGUGAGUAGCUUCAAAGUGAGACAUCUGUUGUGGUUUUAGGGGAAAAUAACGGUUUUGUGAAUCUUGAUGUCUACACUUCUCCCCCUAUUUUGAGAUAACCUGGACUCUACAAAGUGCAAGAGGGGAUGAGCAGCUCAGCUGGACAUGUCUCUUGUAACUUUCAACUCUUCUAGAAAAAAGGACUAGCACAUCAAAGAGAAGAAAAAGGAAGAGAGAAGGGGAAAGCAGUAUUCAUACCAUCUAAAUUUAGGCAUCCAAACUUAGGUACCUGCCUGUCCUCAUUUGCUUCAGAGUGAAGUGAUGCUCUUAAAUUUAGGGUCUCCAGAUCUUACCUUACUGCAUUUAUGAAAUUGAUGGUGUUAAUUCCUUGGCUCCUAUUCCAUCAUGGAGGAAAGAAACAGAAAAGUCAGCAGAAAAGAAACGCUGACACAGUACACUGGCUCUCCCUGGAGUAAUUUGUAGUAGAGUGUGGCACAAAACUGAAUGGGGACCUGCCCCUGCACAGUGGGGAGUUUCUAAGCGAUCUGAUCCUAUUGUUCACUUAUUUUGAUGGCUACUACUUCACACAAUCUUUUGUUAACUUAUAAGAGUUAACACCAAAAGAAUUCAAGUGAGUGCCAGUCUUUAGGGAAAGAAGAAUAAUGCCCCUAUGUUGAAAUUAGCCUACACUCUAGUUCAAGAGUUUGCCUCUAAGUUCUCCAUACUUAUUUCAUACUUAUUUCCAUGUUUAUUUCUGCAAUUGCAUGUGAACACACAGUACUGUGGGUGGGGUUUAGCUUGAUCUCACUGGGACAGCAGGUAAUGCUGAACUGUCAUUUCCAGUGGGCAUUAAAUAUUGAAAACAUAGACUCAGCCUCUCCUUUUGGCAAGUCUUAAGUUUCCAUUAGAAGCAGAUGGUAUACAAGGCAGGGCUAGGCACCUAAGUAUAAAGACCUCUUGUUUCUCAGCUGUAUAUCUCUACCACCUGACAGCCUCUGAUUAGAGUCAAAGGAAGUGGGUGUGUCUUCCAUUAGCAAAGACGGAAAGUAAUAUUGGUGAAGACUUUUCCUCUCGUGAGUUUUCUUUUUGUGACGCUUCAUCUUAGAAGCACUUCUCUGCAGAGUGGAUAGUACUUUGGGAGAUGGGCUGCCUGAAAGAUGCUGUAGAACGUGAGCUGUGGCAUUUGUGGUGCUACACAGGAUUUGGUGAGAUGGGGGGGGAUGUGUGUGGGAAACACGUAUCUUCAAGGGGCUUUCAUUUAGCACUCUGGUUUCAAAAAGCAAGGGAAAACAGAUGAGCCUGUGAGCAAUAUAUGGACAUGUGUGAUAAAUUCAUUCCCCCUGAGUUGCUUAUAGCUGUAGAGUAGAUCAAAGUGCAAGCUGGAGUUCUGAAGAAAAUAGAUAAACUUUGCUAUGAGAAUUCAAUGUGUAGAUGCCUAGACUUGGUAAGGCUAAUCAGUCAGAACUGCAAGUGUAAGUGUGGCCCCUAUAUGCUGCAACUGCCCCCUGUUUGUAGGCUUACUGUGCUCUCUUGCAGUUGCCUCAAGACAAGAGCUCCAAAGAGCCCCUCUCCAACAACAGGCUAGAGCACAACCACAGGUUCUCAGACAGUUUCCUCUUGCCACUCAGCAAAGUCCCUGCUUGGAAGUCAGUCCCCAGGACACUGUAGUAGGCAGUACUUUAAAGGCAAACUCUUUGGUACAUUUUUGCACUCUGUGAUUACCUGUGGGAGCUGCAUGCAAGGAUCAGAGCACAAAGCCACUGGGGCUACUGGCUGGUACAUCCUGCAUCAUCAAAUCAAUGCUACUUCUGGCACUUCUUACCUUCUUAAAUUUCAAGGUGUAUGUAGCUGAAUUGAACACUUAGUGGGACAGCAGCAGCUUCUUGGGGAGUCCUACAGUUAGGUUAGAAUUAGUCAUCACUACAGAGAGCUUGAAGGACUUUGGAAACAGCUUUAAUAAGCUGCAAACAUUAGAUCAGGAUUUACAUCAUAAAUCUUGCCUUUUUGUUUUACACAAAUAGGAGUGUCUACAAAUCAGGUUAAUAUAAUUUAACAGUACAGCAGUUAAGUAACAAAAAGGACCAUAAUUAGUAGUAUUAUCUAAGAAGCCACAGCAAUCCUGCUUACAACUGUCAGCUAAGAUCUGACUCAUCUAAGAUAUUUUAUAGCAACCAUAUGUUAGGCAUGUCUAUCUCACCUAUUAUGCAGAAAAAUGAUAACGUUUCCUAAUCAGGAUUUGCCACUAAGUAGGAUUUUCCAUAAACACCUCAGUACUGCAAGUGCUAGAGUCAGGAGGAAAACCUUUUGCAGACACUUCUGAUUUGUUAAUUUAAUAAACAGAAUAAAUGGUUGCAAAUCUGUGGCUAGUACUGAUUUAGCAAGGCUGGCUCUAGUUCCAAGUGUAGGUACAUUACUUUGGCAGUUGAAAUGGUAAAUAUCACUUUAGCACAGAAUUUGUGAAGAUAAUUACUAAUUUUUGCACUUCUUGUUCAUAGUUUCACCUUGAAGACAUGCUCUCAAAGCACGUGAUCCAUUAAAAAUACUUUGCUGAGAUGGUGCAAGCAAAGCUUUAUUAGUAUAAUAUCUUUAUCUGCAUAGCCAGAAAAGAGAGGGUAAGUUCACACCAUAUAGGAGAGAAAGAUUAAAAGAUAAGUUUUAAAAUACUGUAGUCCUUUGAUAACAAUGUGGAUGGUUAAGCUGGAAUAAUAAUUGUACUUUAACAAAGGCAGAAACUGUUCAAAAACCCAAUGACUGUUAAUUUUUUAACAAGGUUUAGAUCCAGUUCACUGUUACACUGAAACCUGCAUAAGCCUAUACCCCUUUGCAGUCGGACUUGACUCCUUCUUGUGCAAAGGGUGCUUAAAUAGCCAUCAAAUUUAAUUCUUCCCAAGCAAUCUUGAGAAAAUGGGAUAAAGCUGCAAUCCCAACAUUUCCUUCUGCUCUCAAAAGGGCAGUAGUUUUACUGCUUAAAAGCUUUUUUGAGUACUGAAGAGUAUUUUUUUCCUGAACUAUGGGCUCUCGGUACAUUUUUUAAAAAAUACAUACUUUUGCUGUUUAAGAUCCUUGGCGUAUAAAAUUUCACAACUAGAAAUGUAGCUGAAGUGUUUGUUGGUUAUUAAGAUAAUUAAGAGUAUUUGAAAACUUGAAAAAUAAGUGAUUUUACAGAUACCACAUUAGCCCUCUACAGCUCUGGGUCAUAUAUAUGUCAUCUCUGCUAAGUAUUCAUUUCUAAGAUCCUCCCAAGCUCUGCUUUUUUAUCCUCUGAACAUCUGAUGCUUCUUGUUAUUCUUUUAUAACCACAGAUGUGCCCUCUUCAAAAAACUCACAAUCUCACAAUGCUAAACUGACAAGCUGAGUGUCAAACCACACACCCCAAGCAGCCCUGAAGAAAAACAGAAUCACGCUUGAAGCAAAACAGAAUAAAUCACACAAAUUGUUUCCAGAGAAUGAAUCUGAAACAUUGCAAAUUCCGCACAGGCAUUGUUUCCUAAGAAUGCAAAUGACAUUUUUAUGAUCACUUACACUAUAAGCAUAGACUGUUCUCUGAAAGAAGAGAUUAAUUUGAACAACUUUUUAUUUCCUUGUUAAGUUUGUUACGUUUUCUCUCUCUCUGAGCUGAACUGGAGCCUUGCUGUGGGAACGAGCUGGGUCUCCUUUCUGCCGAAAAGCAGCAUGGGUGUGCCGGCUGAGGGUGAGCGAGGCCACUGCACUGGGAGCGUGUGGUUUGUGCAGCUCAGAGCCGCUGUGCACCGCAGCCCUGAGCCUGCCCGGGAGCUGCCUCCUGCCCGGGAGCUGCCUCCUGCCCGGGAGCCUGCCCGGGAGCUGCCUCCUGCCUGGGAGCUGCCUCCUGCCCGGGAGCUGCCUCCUGCCCGGGAGCCAGGCUCUGGGCACAGCGCAGUGCAGCCAUUUGUCCAGCUCUCCAUGGCCAGGCUGUAGCAGGCUCCCACAGCUCUCUCAGCUGUAGUGCCUCUGCAAGCCAUCCCUUCUCCCACAGCCAGGGUCCAUGUGGGACAAGGCUAAGUCCACAAUGCUGUAGUGCUAAGGCAUCAAAUACAUGUAAUUUGGCUUGGCAGUAAUGCCAUAACUUAUCUAAAAGGUUUUAUGAUAUUGUCCUGUAAAGAAUGAAGGGAUAAUUUUCACACUUAGAUACUCAAGACCUGCCAGGUGUUUUCUUAAACUGUUAAGCACACUUCACACUUUACAGCAUGUUAUCUCCUUCUCCCGCCUUCAAAAAUGUCACAGCAUUAAAAAAAUAAAAUAUAAUUUAAAAGUGUAGCUACAAACAUUUACCUAUCUGCAUUGAAGUCAAUAUCUAACUGUAAAUAGGGCUGUUGUAUAGACUUCACUGAAAGAAACUCUUUUUUCUAAUCUGGUGAUUUGAAGGUGAAACACUGACCCGCAGUUCUGGUACUCGAUUGCUGAUGUGUGUAGGAGUAAUGCUGUGUUCUGGAUUACAUAAUUUAUAUCUUAAGGGUUUGAGUCAAAAGUUGGAUUUCUUUUUUUUUUUCCUAGUUCAUCUCUAUCUGAUAACCUUGAAUACAAGACAGAUGAUGCCUGAAGCAAAGCUGAUAAAGUCACCAGGGCUAAGAAGCAUGAGGGAGGGGAGAAUAGAAGCACAACAACAUAGAUACAUAUCUUCACAUCCUUAUUUCCUUUACAAAUGGAGGAAGGAACUUCCCUGAAGGCACGAAUCACCCAACAGAUACAGCAGUACUCCUGUGCAGAGAUGUUUAAGGAUUUUUAUGCAACUUCUUUAAUCAGAAGAGGCAUACUUGGUUGAAAAUGAAACCUCUGCAGGAAAAGGUGUUGGUCCAGUUCCUAAUCAGAACCUACCCUUCAAGCUGUGGCACUUGGUGUUUGAGGCUGUGGAAAGAGGAGGACUCUGGAGGUUGCCUGACUGCUCUCACCUGUGUCUGCUGGAUGCAAGGAACCAAAGUAAGGGAAUUAAGGGAAUUUAGCUGCAGAGCCCUUGAAAGUCUCCACCAAACCUGCAUGAAUUGUGUGUUCACAGCUUGUAGUAGGAGUUGCAGGUUGGACAGAGGUAAAACUCCAAUACUAAACCCAAGAUGUUUGCUACAGGUUUAAUCUCAAUGUCCCAGAGCAAUUAAAGGGCAGCACAGGUACCCAUCACCAACAUGGCAGGGGUCUGGUCUGUGUGCCAGUCCCAAGUCAGUAGCUGAAGCUGGCUGCACAGCAAUUCCCUGGUACAUAGCUCAGCCACUGCUUUGCUCAAGCAAACCCAGUGAUGUUAUCCAGACACCACUCACAGGCAUGCAGGUGCAAGCAUGAGGUAGAGGCAAUUGGCAGGAAAGGAAAAGUCUGUACUCCCUUGUUUGCCCAUGUAUAGGUCUCAUUUCCUUGUCACACACCUUGAGGUGAAGAGGCAAAAGUCCCAUCUCAGAACAGCAGCUUGAGAGGGAUGAGCUCUUUCAGAUGCUUUUUGCCCCCUUGGGAAAAAGCAAUUUUGCAGCUACCCAGCAAACAGAAGUAUGGAGAAGGGAAGAUGUCCCACCCAAGAUGCCAUGAGAGGGAACUGCAGCUUCCUAAGGAGGAGGGCACAGAGCGAGAGUGACAUUUGCCCAGCAUCUCAUUCUCAAAGAUGGCUGAACUACAGUGAGUGCUUGUAAACCCAAGCAAACAGCAACAUGACAGGUCAAGCACUGACAUAAAAGACUUGAACCUGUUUUGCUGACCGUUAACAGGCAAAUGAAGGCAGAGACCACAGCACCAACUCUUAUGCAACAUUUAAACACAGUGUUUCCCAUAUGGUUAUACAGCAAUUGCCAUGAACAACUUCUCUUAGAUCAUAAUGACUGUUAAGUCACCCAAAAUCUUAAAAAAAAAUAAAAAUAAAAAAAAACAAAACACUAAGCAAUUCUGCUUUUUAAAUGCAACAAAAAGAUCAUAAAAGAGGAAUUUGAAAUAAAUACCUGCUACAAAAUAGGAGAGGACUUGUCAAACCCUGCUCUGUGUGUUCUGCUAGUUGUAACAACCCACACCUCAAACCACAGAGCAAUCAAGCAGGGUGUAAUCCCAUUGCAAGGAGGCUUCUGUCACACAAUAACCUUCCCUCUCCACUAAGGCUGGGCUCUGACCAGGAAUGUGUUCAUUCUUCACCCCUGGUUUCUGAGGAUUUACUGUUUUGUUACAGCACUGGGUGUGUCACUUCCAGUUAAAUGCAAUGAAUUUCAGGUUGACCAUAAUCAGGUGUGCAGCUACUUAGUGUGAGUUCUUUCUCCAGGAAGGUUUAAGAGUAGCCCUUAGUGUUAUGUUAGUCCCUGGCCUCGAGGAAGAACAAAGUGAAAAACAGAUGCUGCCAUAAGCACAAAGACCAAAUGUGCUGAGCCACACAGAAUUCAGUGGAAGUACUGAAGAUAAGAGUAACACCCACUGACCCAGCCUUUCCAGCAGCCAGCAGUGACCAGGAAAUGACCCUUUUCCCUCCAGCAGACUGAUCAUUGCCAAAUUUAGUCUGCAGAGACACCCCACCAGCACCAGUGAGACUCUUGUACCAACUAGAUACAAUCCACACAUCAUUGACUGAGUUACAGAGCUGAAACAUGUUCAGUUCUGUUUAGAGCACAGACCACUCAGAUUUACACUAAAUAUGACAUAUUAAAUGUAGGUCAUCCUACAGUCAGGUUCCCAUUCUUUAAUUUCAGUUAGAGUAAGACAAAUCUGUCACAUGUGAGUCAGCUUUGAAAUGCUCUUGGAGCAGUGGGAGUUUGCUAUAGAACUAUGUAAAUACCAAAAAAGAAACUGAAGAUUUGACCUUUGUUUACCCAAGCGAGUCUCAAGUAACCAAAAGGCAUGUCAGAUUUUAAUAGCAUUUCUAGGAUUGAUUCAGCUCUGACAGGCCAACUUCCACAACUUGAUGGCAAGUACAGCACAUCUGUCAGCAGGAAGCCUACACAGAGACUGCAGAGGCACCAGGAACCCGCAACUUACACAAAAUAAACACUUUGGUGCAAAAAUCUGAAACGGGAGCUGUGCCAGCAUGAUAGAAUGCACUGAUUUAUUCAUCUCCUUCACUCUAGUGAGGAGCCCUCCUGCAAAUGUCUCCAUUGCAUCUGGCUCUCCCAGGGGAAUGCCCGGAGGGCUGCAUGAGCAGUGUCAGUCCUCCAGCAGCACCAGUGAUGAGUCAAGCCCUGUCUGCACAAGCGCAUGGGGGCCAGUCAUCAAGGGGGCCAUCUGAAAUUAGCCACAAGCACCAUCAGCACAGGAGCAGUGCUAUCAAGAUGCCCCAUCACAAAUAUAAGCCCAAGACAAAUCCUCAACUAGGGCACUUUUACCUUUAGUCAGUCACAGCUUCAUGGCCGUCUUUGUAAUACCUUGGGCAAAUAUUGACUCACAUCCAACAGACUGAAAAUAUUUGGUUUGCACCAGAUGUGGUGCGUAUGUAUCUUUGAAACAUUAGCUAAAGGAGUGAUUUGGGAAAAUAAAAAUUGUAGGUGGAUGUUUACUUUGCAAGGUUGUUCGCAAUGUGCCCAGAUGCCAGAAGUGCGCGUGGAGGUUUCACCCACAGGAAGAAAGCCGGCUGUAAGUGCCGCGAUGCACAGCCAAACUCUGCGUGCACGUGCAUUCCUGCGCCUGCAGCUCACCACAUGAUAGAGGAAGGGCUGAGGAUCACUGGUGAGACGUUAACGGGUCCAAGUAUUCCUGCUCUGAAGACAACCUGAAAAGGUCUGUUAGCUAUUGAACAAUUACCUAGCGUAUUGCUUCAGGCCACAGCCUCCAAAGUUCUUGGCAUGUAGUGUUGGGGCUGUUUUCUGCAAGAACUUGAGUGCCAUUUCCAUGGCCCACAGCUGACAGCAGCUUUGGAAAUCCAGACACUGUUCCAAGGGAAGGGAAAGUAACUGCCCACUCCUCUCCUAUUUCUCUUUCUCCAGCUAUUUAGAAAUUAGAGUUCCAGUAAAAAACACGCAUUGAAAGCACACAUCUAAGCAGAUAAACACCUUUUGUUAGAAGGCUGAAAGCAAAAGAAAGGUAGUUUGAUUGGUUUAAAUAGUAGAAACAGCCACUCAAUAGCAACAUUAAAUUACUUCAGUUUUCAAUUCUUAGAUCACUCCCUGUCCCGACUGUCAAUUUCUCAUGUGCAUCUACUCUCUCCUGCUAAAAAUCAUCGGUCAGGUGCAGCUUUGGCAGUCACAGAGCUUGCUUAUGGAAACUGGGGGAGGGAGGGAAAACACUUCAGCACCAUUCAGUAACCUAUGGCUAUUCCUACUAUCCAGUAUUUUCAUUUUGGAAAUUGAUGUGCAUUCAUUUUGGGGGCCUUUUAGAAGGAACAAGAGUUCUUGGAAGUAACAAGUUUUCAGAAGGAAAAGAGGUUCUUUUCUGUGUUUACCAAAGUAUAGAAGAAAAGAAAAACCACAGAAUUUUGUUCAGUACAUUUGCAGGAAGAACAGUAUAUUUGAAGGAAAAACACUAGUGAAGUAUUUGUUUGCUGGACCACUCAAGGCCAAACUCAAUUGGUAGAAUAUUGUACAGAACAGAAUUAAUCUUUUGGGACUGGAAAUUCAUAAUAAUGUCAUUUAAUCACCUCUCUUAAAAUAAUUGAAUCGGCAGCACAUCCCAGACAGCUCUUGAGAAGUACAAGAGUUAACAUUUUGCUGAGUCUUUUUUCCACAAGUGAAUCUUUUCAUCAGAUACACAACACCUGACACCUGGGGCUCUUACACCCUCUGAACAGCCAACAGAUUUUGCCCAGAGCAAGAAAAACCAGCAAGCCACAUACUGAUCCACAUAUACACACACCUUUAAUGCAUUGCCUCCCAACCCCACUGGAAAUUCAGGGUGUUGGAACUUUCCUGGUCAUUAAGGACCACUACAGUGCCCAACCCGUCCUUCCAGACAGCUUACCUACAGGCUUACUGUGAAUCUCUGCAGAAAACUAACCCUGAAAACUACUUAGGCACUAAGCUUGCAAUUCAUCUGAUAACACUGAGCUGCAGGAACAUUGCACCUCCCAAAAGGGGAGUUACAAAUUGGUUUCAACAUCAUGAUCAGUUAAACCAGCACUAGGAAAAAGAUGAAUCUUUAGCCAUAUGUUUCCUUGAAAAUAUUCCAAGUUCAUUACCAGAGGCCAAGGCACUUCACAGUAACAUACCACAGGUUCAGUAACUAAUGUUUUUUUUAAAGGAGCCGUAGAAAGACACUUCUCUGUACUCAUAGUAAGGUAGUUAAGCUCAGACCUCAGUGUCACAGCAACAUGCAAAGCCUCCUACUGCAGCAGUAAAUCUGGAAAGGCCAUUUGAGGUUCUCCCUGCCUAGGAAGCUCUUUAGACAUGUUACAGUCAACAUGCCUCUUACCCAGAGGCUUCUGAGCCAUCAUCCCCACCAUCCACUGUCAGGCAAGGAUGUCUCUCCCCAGCUAAUUAACUGACAGUCCAGCAUGCUCUUAGCUCUGUGUGUCUGAGUGAGUUCAGCCUUGAUUUCCCUCCUCCAGAUCGCAGAAUGCAUUUGAGUACUCCAUCUCCCAAGUCAUAUUCCGGUUCUAGUCCCCCUUCAAGGUGUUUGAGGGUCUCCUGUGGAGAAAUCAAAUCCGUCAAGCACCAACCCAUGGAUCUUCAGCCUGACCUUUCUGGCUGUGGCUGCCCAGAGCCUGGAUGUGCCCCAGGCACUUGCUGCACACACAUUUUCUCUCAGUACUGUGGUGGAGUUUCCUCUUACCUCUUUGGCAACCAUUGUUACAACAUAAAACUGAGCACCACUGUUAGAAAGACCUGCAAUUACCCUAUUUUAAAUUUCUCUUUCAAGUUUAUAGGACUGCAAACACUCUCAAGGAGUCUCUAGCAGGUAUCUGUAUGCCAGGGACACCUGGACUUAAACACAAUCUCAUCUGGCCCAUGACUUUCUUAUACUGAUGGCAUCUUCCCUGCUCCCUCUGCUCCUCUGCCCUGGCCAGCCUAUACACAGGGGCACUUUAGUUUAUUUCUAACAGAAGUGAGUUUCAGUCCUCAGGACAUCAUAUAAAAUUAAGUCAGAUUGUCAGUCCCUUGAACAAGACUUUGUCAGAGCUAACAAUGAAACCCUGCUAAUUGACAGAUGAGGAAUUGGACUCAUUUACACUUAAGCUGACUAACUAUUUUGUUAUAUUGUAGAAAACAUAAAAACCUCUCAGAAGCAUGGCUGGCCAGCUGUGGUGUUAAGGUGAUAGAGAUUUUGUCACAUCCCUGGCUACUGUGGGCUGUGCUAAAAGGGCACUUCAGCUCCUUUAGCCCAUAAACCUGAUUUCAGUUACCACUCUUUAUUGUCAAUAUAGUAAGAGCAGCUCGCUGGAAUAAAGGGAUUGAAGAAAUAGGAAACAGAGCACCCAAACCAUGGGCCAGGAGCAGGGCUGCACCAUCACAGGCCUGUGUUUGCCAUGUGCUGGCCUGCCUGGGGGCCCAUAUGCAGGAGCCAGCUCUUGGCAAGAUUGACUGCCACCAGCUCUACACAUGGGUGACACUCCCCUCCUCACAUCAUGGGGGGGCCAGGAAAACGCACAGCCCUGAGUCACCCCCCAGCAGCAGCAGAGAACAGGCACAGCAAUGCCUGCAGCCCAGACAGAGAAAAAGAAGCAUUUUUUUGGGUAGAAAGCAAGGCCUGGUGUUUUUUGGCUUCUACGUUGGCGAGGAAAAUGAAGCACGAGGAAACAAUUUUCAUUGUUGACAGGUUUUUCUACCCUUUUUGCCCUCCCUGUAAAACAAAACCCUCCAGAGCUUCAGGACUGCAAGGUCUCUGGCCAAGAGGCACUGGUACCACCACUGGAGACUGAUUCAUAUGCCAGUACUUGUGCUCUCAGGGAGCUUCAGUGAUUGUCAGCUGAAUUCCCACCACACAGCUAACAGGAAGGGGGACUUGAGAGAGGGCAAUAACAUUAACAUGGGAGACUUUCACCAGUACUCACUAGCAGUACCAACAGGCAUCCUCACUGUAACGCACGCUGCACAUCCAGUCAUGCUGCUUAACUGCAGCAUUUACCCUGAUUCAGAUGAACAGUGGCAGAACCCAGCUCAGCCAGUGCAGUUGUUUUUUUGUGUUACUCUUUACUGUAUAGGACCCAUAGGAUCCAACAGUUUCUGGCUGAGAACCACACCUCCUUAUACUUGCAUUUUGUAGAGAGCAUCUUCACUCUCCAGCCACUGCUGGGAUCUAAAAUCCAGGAGUCUUUAACCUUGUCAAACCAUCAAUAUAAAGGCUGUGGCAGCCUUCUCCAACAUACAGACAUUCACAAAAAAAAUUGCUCAAACAUGAGAUUUCAGCAACCAAACAUGCAGAGGAACAAAACCGACAUCCAAAUGGCAAGUGGAAAGAGCCACAGUUAAAAACUAAACCACAGCAGUCUCAGAAGAGAGAAGUAACAGUCAAGCAUCUCCCCUUCUGCAAUUAUUUGGUGCCUAGCAGUUUGAGGCACUUCACACUUAAGCAGGCACAUGCUCUUCCAUGGCUCCAUGUCUUCCUGGAGUAUGAUGAGUGAUGUGAAAGGUUUCAGACAGAUGUAUUUAGAAUUUAGGGGAAACUAAGAGAGGACAGAGCUCACCCCACUUGCAUAAAACCCCUUCCUCCCAUAAAUGCAACCGUUCUUUUCCAUCCUUGCAAAGGUCUGUGACGCAACUUGGGCUGAGGAAACUGGGAAGGAAGCACCCGCUGGAAGAUCACCCCCCCUCGCCUGGGAUGAAGGGAGAGGUGGCAAACGGCCUCACCACCUCAACUGGCCACAGAAAUCAAUCCAAAGAUUGCCAAAUGCCUGUAGGGAACAACAGCAGUGAGCCCUGCCAGAGCCAGGCCCAGCUGACAAAUGAGCAGGCAGAGAGCAAGGCUACCUGGCUUAGUAGAGGAGCUCACAAGCAAAACACCUCAGCCAUGGUGGAAAUAUCACACAGGAAGGAGACUCUUCUCCAUUGUCAUUAAUGUUAAUUUAAGCUACUGAAAACACAAAUAAUUCCAAAACCAACUGACAACAGAUAUAUAGAGUACACAGCAGAGCUCAGCAAAGGUCAGGCCCCUGCAGCACAAAGCCCAGCACAAGCACACAGGAAGACCCAGCUCUUUGCUCUCAGAGCUUGAGGUGACAGCACCCUGACUCACACUCACUAUUACUCAGUGUUAGCAAGAGCAUCCUGGUCCAGAAGGUCCAAGCUCCCUGACUGCAGGUUUGCAAUAAGUGAUGUCUACCUGCAACCAUCAUUCCUGCAGCACCUCAAAGAGUUAGAACAGUUACAUAAAGAGGAUCAAGAAUAUUUUUCACCCAUUCCUUUUUUGGAUCUCACCCUCCUGCCUGUCCAUGUUGCUGUGUUUCAGGGAGGCAAAGGGCAAUAGCAGAGCUAGAGCUGACAAGUCUGUGAAAUUGGGAAUUUAGCAACAUAAGGUAGGCAACAGGCAACAUAAAUUCCCUUGGCUUAAAUCAGUUAAAGUUAAUUGCUAGAAGGAGUCCUUGGAAGCAGUUUAGACCAAAGUAAUGUCUAUUCUUUUCUGGCUGACCACAUAAUAAAAUACUAUUAAUUUGUUGUGGCUCUUCACUUCAACACUUAAAAUUUCUUAUAAGAAAUACUAAGAACACUGGAAGUUAGCUUCUUAUCUUUUGCAAUGCUCUUUUUCCCCUUUGAAUUCAUCCCUUGAGUCUAUCAGUGAGCUUUGGAAAUGUAUUAUUAAUAGGGGGAAAACAAAGUGUAAAACAUAAGUAAUGUAUCAUAAUGAACUGUCUGUCACCUCAGAGGAUUAUAAUUUCCCUUUAAUGCCAGCUGGCCCUAUUACAGUACUUCAGUCAAUGGAAUAUCUUGGCCAUUUUCAACACCUGCGGUGCUGCACUCCUGCCAGCCAGUGCCAGCGCGGUGGCGGAGCAGCCACCUCUGAGCCGUGUGCCACACAGGAGCUGGCAGCACAAGCCAGCAGCUGACUGAGCAGAGGAGCCCAGCACUGCUGCAGCAACUGCCAGUGCCUAUGGACACUGAGUCUGAGUGAGUGGGGUGGAUGCACCCCAUGCACUGUAGUACCCAGCUGGCUGGGGGAUCCCACAUGUGUCAGAAAAUUGGCUGCACAGUAUUAAAAGAAAAUAAUUUCAAUACCUGUUACAUUAUUUUCCUUAUAUUUUUGCCUUAUUCAAUAUUCUUUUGUCAUGUCACCUCUACUAAAAAGAAAAAAAAAAAGAAAAAAAAAGGAGAUGAGAAGCAGCAUGUUAGAACAAGCACAUAAAAAUUAUUUUCUUUCAACUUAUUCGAAAGCUUUAUCACAUGUUCCAGGUAAAUCCGUUAGGCAACAUUAUUCCAACAAGGUGUGGCCAGCAUUGUUAUAAUGUAUGAAACAUUUCCUUCAGAUUUAUGUGGUCUAGCUUUACAGUCCAUAUGUUGUGCAUAUCACAAACUAGUGUGAGAUAGACUCAAGAAAUGUUCUGAGACUCAUGUGUUGGGAUUUUUUCAUUUUUCUUCCCCCAAUAAAGAAGUCAUGGACAAAACUAGAUACUCAUAUCCAAUCCACAUUCAGAUGUAUUUGCAGCUUUAGAUGCACAAAUACCUUUAAAAUCUGGUUCCAUCAUUUUACAUGCCUUGUAAUGCAUAACAGAUAUUUACAUGCCUGAAAUCUAUUUAGACUGCUUUAUUACUCAGAGGAAAAAAUACUGGAAACUACCACUAGCCUACUGACAAUUAAAAAAAAAAUUACCCUUGGCAUUCUCAGAAGCCACCUCCGCUGCAGGUGAAAAUAGACAGGAUGUGGCUUGGCAAUGGAGUAAGGUCUAAGAUUCAGUAGGGAAAAUCUCUGGAAUUUUAACUCUGAGCAGGCAUCUAGUAAGGUCUCUGUUAGAGACACACUCCAUUGAUUUACAUGCAUAUUUCAGUGCUUUUCUAAAUCAGAAUUUCCUCAAAGGGCUGUUUGCUGAGCUAUGUUUCACUAUUUAGAGUAAGACCCAAAUCUUACAGAGUAAAGGUAAAAUCCCUUCCUGAUGUGAACUGGGGUUAUGCUGGAGAUGAAUUUGAUACAACUGACCUGUUUGGUUUGUCUCUCUUACGGGUGGAAAAUGCAGAGGCUUGAGGAGCACACCUUUGCCAAUGUGCAACAGCAGCACAGCUUGCAAGCAGAAUUGCAUGGGUCUCGCAAUCUUUCACCCAAGGCUUGUUCUAGAAACUUCUUCCUCCCUCCCUCCUUUAACUGCAACAAAUGUUUUGCUUGAGGAAGGAGCAAGACCCAGAAGAGCUGCUCUCUAACUUGUGUUGCAAUAUCCAAUCUGAGUGUUACUAUCAGCUUUUGGAAACUGACUGUAUAGAAAACACAGAUGAUGUUUGCAUAUUUUAAUUUUAAACAUCUCUGCUUGGCAUAGGGAUGGAACCUAAUAAGGCACUUUGUUUCUGCCUCAUGAAUUAAUUCAGCCUGCUAACUGAUUUGGAUAAAGCAUUUUGAUUCCAACUAAUAAAUUUAUUUUCUGUGCAACCAAAA